CCUUUUGCUUAAUAAAUUCUACUCAACUCACUCUUUGGUGUGUAUGCACCUAAUUCAUCCUGGUGUUAAGAAAAGAACACGGACCUAGCUGAGCUAAGGAGCAGAAAGACCACAACACUGGGAAAGCAAAAGGUGAAAGCAGGUUAAAAGACUCUGUAAACAAGCCAACAACCUCAUCUGGGAUUCAAGCAAAGGAACAGUAUUAUGCCCAAAAGAAAAUGGACUGCACUGAACUCGCUAAGAGGUAAUCUAACACACACAAAGCCAUGUAUACAGAAACUUACAAGAAAUUUACAAAAUUUUAAAAGAUACUUUUUAUGAUACAUAGUUUUUACAUUAAUCACUAAUUUUGGAACC